rnacentral:rRNA from 1 species
UACGAAGGGGGCGAGCGUUGUUCGGAAUUACUGGGCGUAAAGGGCGCGCAGGCGGCUCUGAAAGUCAGAUGUGAAAGCCCCGGGCUUAACCUGGGAAUUGCAUUUGAUACUCUGGAGCUUGAGUACGGGAGAGGAGAGUGGAAUUCCCAGUGUAGAGGUGAAAUUCGUAGAUAUUGGGAAGAACGACCGGUGGCGAAGGCGGCUCUCUGGACCGUAACUGACGCUGAGGCGCGAAAGCGUGGGGAGCAAACAGGG